AUUGAACGCUGGCGGCAGGCCUAAGACAUGCAAGUCGAGCGAGAAAGCCCUUCGGGGUGAGUACAGCGGCGGACGGGUGAGUAACGCGUAGGAAUCUACCCAGUAGUGGGGGACAACUAGUGGAAACGCUAGCUAAUACCGCAUACGCCCUAAGGGGGAAAGCGGGGGAUCUUCGGACCUCGUGCUAUUGGAUGAGCCUGCGUAAGAUUAGCUUGUUGGUGAGGUAAUGGCUCACCAAGGCGACGAUCUUUAGCUGGUCUGAGAGGAUGAUCAGCCACACCGGGACUGAGACACGGCCCGGACUCCUACGGGAGGCAGCAGUCGGGAAUAUUGCGCAAUGGGGGAAACCCUGACGCAGCCAUGCCGCGUGUGUGAAGAAGGCCCUAGGGUUGUAAAGCACUUUCAAUUGGGAGGAAAAGCUAAUGGUUAAUAACCAUUAGCCCUGACGUUACCUUUAGAAGAAGCACCGGCUAACUCCGUG
rnacentral:rRNA from 1 species